UACGUAGGGCGCAAGCGUUGUCCGGAAUUAUUGGGCGUAAAGAGCUCGUAGGCGGUUUGUCGCGUCUGCUGUGAAAGCCCGAGGCUCAACCUCGGGUCUGCAGUGGGUACGGGCAGACUAGAGUGCGGUAGGGGAGAGCGGAAUUCCUGGUGUAGCGGUGGAAUGCGCAGAUAUCAGGAGGAACACCGAUGGCGAAGGCAGGUCUCUGGGCCGCAACUGACGCUGAGGAGCGAAAGCAUGGGGAGCGAACAGG
rnacentral:rRNA from 1 species